rnacentral:rRNA from 1 species
UACGUAGGCAGCAAGCGUUGUUCGGAAUUACUGGGCGUAAAGAGUGUGUAGGCGGUGCUGCAAGUCUGGUGUGAAAUCUCCCGGCUCAACUGGGAGGGUGCGCCGGAAGCUGCAGUGCUAGAGGGUGGGAGAGGUAAGCGGAAUUCCUGGUGUAGCGGUGAAAUGCGUAGAUAUCAGGAGGAACACCUGUGGUGUAGACAGCUUACUGGACCACUUCUGACGCUGAGACACGAAAGCGUGGGUAGCAAACAGG